UACGGAGGAUGCGAGCGUUAUCCGGAUUUAUUGGGUUUAAAGGGUGCGUAGGCGGAUGCUUAAGUCAGCGGUAAAAUUGCGGGGCUCAACCUCGUCGAGCCGUUGAAACUGGGUGCCUUGAGUGGGCGAGAAGUACGCGGAAUGCGUGGUGUAGCGGUGAAAUGCAUAGAUAUCACGCAGAACUCCGAUUGCGAAGGCAGCGUACCGGCGCCCAACUGACGCUGAAGCACGAAGGCGUGGGUAUCGAACAGG
rnacentral:rRNA from 1 species